CCUACGGGGCGCUGCAGUGAGGAAUAUUGGUCAAUGGACGAGAGUCUGAACCAGCCAAGUAGCGUGAAGGAUGACUGCCCUCUGGGUUGUAAACUUCUUUUAUCAAGGAAUAAAACGAGGCACGUGUGCCUUUUUGCAUUUACUUUAUGAAUAAGGAUAGGCUAACUCCGUGCCAGAAGCCGCGGUAAUACGGUGGAUCCGAGCGUUGUCCGGAUUUAUUGGGUUUAAAGGGAGCGUAGAUGGGUUGUUAAGUCAGUUGUGAAAGUUUGCGGCUCAACCGGACAAUUGCAAUUGAUACUGGCAGGCUUGAGUACAGUAGAGGGAGGCAGAAUUCGUGGUGUAGCGGUGAAAUGCGUAGAUAUGUCGAAGAACCCCGAUGGCGAAGGCAGCUUACUGAACAGAGACUGACAUUGAGGCGCGAAAGUGUGGGUAUCAAACAGGAUUAGAUACCCGUGUAGUC
rnacentral:rRNA from 1 species